UACGUAGGGUGCAAGCGUUGUCCGGAAUUAUUGGGCGUAAAGAGCUCGUAGGCGGUCUGUCACGUCUGCUGUGAAAACUCGGGGCUUAACCCCGGGCCUGCAGUGGGUACGGGCAGACUAGAGUGCGGUAGGGGAGACUGGAAUUCCUGGUGUAGCGGUGAAAUGCGCAGAUAUCAGGAGGAACACCGGUGGCGAAGGCGGGUCUCUGGGCCGAUACUGACGCUGAGGAGCGAAAGCGUGGGGAGCGAACAGG
rnacentral:rRNA from 1 species